CCUACGGGUGACUGCAGUGGGGGAUAUUGCACAAUGGGGUGAACCCUGAUGCAGCGACGCCGCGUGAGCGAAGAAGUACCUCGGUAUGUAAAGCUCUAUCAGCAGGGAAGAAAAUGACGGUACCUGACUAAGAAGCCCCGGCUAAAUACGUGCCAGCAGCCGCGGGAAUACGUAGGGGGCAAGCGUUAUCCGGCUUGACUGGGUGUAAAGGGAGCGCAUGCGGCCGGCCAAGUCUGUGGUGAAAACCCGGGGCCAAACCCCGAGCCUGCAUUGGAAACUGGCGGGCUGGAGUGUCGGAGGGGCAGGCGGAAUUGCUGGUGUAGCGGUGAAAUGCGUAGAUAUUAGGAGGAACACCGGUGGCGAAGGCGGCCUGCUGGACGAUGACUGACGCUGAGGCUCGAAAGCGUGGGGAGCAAACAGGAUUAGAUACCCCUGUAGUC
rnacentral:rRNA from 1 species